rnacentral:rRNA from 1 species
UACGGAAGGCAGCAGUGGGGAAUAUUGCACAAUGGGCGAAAGCCUGAUGCAGCUAUGCCGCGUGUAUGAAGAAGGCCUUAGGGUUGUAAAGUACUUUCAUCGGGGAGGAAAAAACAAAACUAAUAAUUUUAUUUCUUGACGUUACCCGAAAAAGAAGCACCGGCUAACUCCGUGCCAGCAGCCGCGGUAAUACGGAGGGUGCUAGCGUUAAUCAGAAUUACUGGGCGUAAAGAGCACGUAGGUGGUUUUUUUAAGUCAGAUGUGAAAUCCCUGGGCUUAACCUAGGAACUGCAUUUUGAAACUGAAAUACUAGAGUAUCGUAGAGGGAGGUAGAAUUCUAGGUGUAGCGGUGAAAUGCGUAGAUAUCUGGAGGAAUACCUGUGGCGAAAGCGGCCUCCUAAACGAAUACUGACACUGAGGUGCGAAAAGCGUGGGGAGCAAAACAGGGAUUAGGAUACC